AUGUGCUUUCAUGGACUUCAGGAAUAAGCUUUAAAAACUAUCCUCCUUUGCUCAAUCACUCUGACUUUAAUAGCUAAGAAGAACUUAAAAUCAAGAACUAACAAAAAUGGAUAGAUGAAUUAUGAAGAAGAAGUCAGUGGCAGGUGAUCCCCAAAGUGCAAACCUGCCUAAUAUCUGCCAGAGCCAAGCCAUCGGAUUAGGAGUCUUCUAGGGCUCCCUCAAUCACUGGACUUGCUGAAUGGCAGUUUCAUGAACUCAUGGCUCUCUGGAAUGGAGUGGAAAGGAGAAGAGAGGUGAA